GGUGGGAGGAAGCUCAUUGUAGAGGUCACGUGCAGAGUGCUCGUCACUCCUCCAGUUACCUCGGGGAAGGUCUGAGACAAGAGCCAAUAGCUGCUCUUGCAGGGCAUCACCUGAUUCGGGUGAGCGAGUGAACAGAAAUAGUGGUGCCGACGCGAGCACGUCUCACAGGAGAAGCCAGGUGGAGCAGUUUAUCAGCUCCUCCGGUGGAUGUGGUGCUCGCUGGCUUGGAAUCACUCGCGGCUGGCGAAUGAGUGCGAUGUAUGAGGUGGAGUACAGCUCCAGAACCCAAUUCAGACUACUCUCCUUCCACC
ensembl:ribozyme RNaseP_nuc Nuclear RNase P